AUUUAAAUAACUUAAAAAUUGAGAGUGUUACAUUGAAGAUGUAAAAGUGAUUGUUAAUCUUUAAAUA
rnacentral:tRNA from 1 species